UACGUAGGGUGCGAGCGUUGUCCGGAUUUAUUGGGCGUAAAGAGCUCGUAGGCGGUUUGUCGCGUCGGCCGUGAAAUCUCCACGCUUAACGUGGAGCGUGCGGUCGAUACGGGCAGACUUGAGUUCGGUAGGGGAGACUGGAAUUCCUGGUGUAGCGGUGAAAUGCGCAGAUAUCAGGAAGAACACCAAUGGCGAAGGCAGCUCUCUGGGACGGUACUGACGCUGAGACGCGAAAGCGUGGGGAGCGAACAGG
rnacentral:rRNA from 1 species